rnacentral:rRNA from 1 species
GAUUUCUGGUACGGCGCACUUGGCCCGCCUCGGUUACGGGGUAGUGUGCCGGUGUGCGCCUGCCAUCCUUCUAGAACUUGGUUUCUCCCUUCAUUGGGUAGAUUCCCGGGUCUAGAUCAUUUACUUUGAAAAAAUUAGAGUGUUUCAAGCAGGCUUUAUGCUAUGAAUACAUUAGCAUGGAAUAAUAAUUUAGGACUUCGGUUCUAUUUUGUUGGUUUCUAGGACUGAAGUAAUGAUUGAUAGGGAUAGUUGGGGGUGCUAGUAUUCAGCGGCCAGAGGUGAAAUUCUCGGAUUCGCUGAAGACUAACUUAUGCGAAAGCAUU